AUGGCUCGUACUAAGCAGACUGCUCGUAAGUCCACUGGAGGAAAGGCUCCUAGGAAGCAGCUAGCCACAAGGUUUGUGACUGCUGCCCGUAAGUCUGCUCCCACAACUGGAGGAGUGAAGAAGCCUCAUCGUUACCGCCCUGGAACUAUUGCUCUUCGUGAGAUCCGCAAGUACAAGAAGAGCAUGGAGCUACUCAUCAGGAAGCUUCCAUUCCAGAGGCUUGUUAGGUAG
rnacentral:rRNA from 1 species